rnacentral:rRNA from 1 species
AGUGAACGCUGGCGGUAGGCCUAACACAUGCAAGUCGAACGGCAGCACAGUAAGAGCUUGCUCUUACGGGUGGCGAGUGGCGGACGGGUGAGGAAUACAUCGGAAUCUACUUUUUCGUGGGGGAUAACGUAGGGAAACUUACGCUAAUACCGCAUACGACCUACGGGUGAAAGCAGGGGAUCUUCGGACCUUGCGCGAUUGAAUGAGCCGAUGUCGGAUUAGCUAGUUGGCGGGGUAAAGGCCCACCAAGGCGACGAUCCGUAACUGGUCUGAGAGGAUGAUCAGCCACACUGGAACUGAGACACGGUCCAGACUCCUACGGGAGGCAGCAGUGGGGAAUAUUGGACAAUGGGCGCAAGCCUGAUCCAGCCAUACCGCGUGGGUGAAGAAGGCCUUCGGGUUGUAAAGCCCUUUUGUUGGGAAAGAAAAGCAGCAGGUUAAUACCCCGCUGUUCUGACGGUACCCAAAGAAUAAGCACCGGCUAACUUCGU